rnacentral:rRNA from 1 species
GAUGAACGCUGGCGGCGUGCUUAACACAUGCAAGUCGAACGGUGAACACGGAGCUUGCUCUGUGGGAUCAGUGGCGAACGGGUGGGUAACACGUGAGCAACCUGCCCCUGACUCUGGGAUAAGCGCUGGAAACGGCGUCUAAUACUGGAUAUGUGACGUGACCGCAUGGUCUGCGUUUGGAAAGAUUUUUCGGUUGGGGAUGGGCUCGCGGCCUAUCAGCUUGUUGGUGAGGUAAUGGCUCACCAAGGCGUCGACGGGUAGCCGGCCUGAGAGGGUGACCGGCCACACUGGGAUUGAGACACGGCCCAGACUCCUACGGGAGGCAGCAGUGGGGAAUAUUGCACAAUGGGCGAAAGCCUGAUGCAGCAACGCCGCGUGAGGGAUGACGGCCUUCGGGUUGUAAACCUUUUUUAGCAGGGAAGAAGCGAAAGUGACGGUACCUGCAGAAAAAGCGCCGGCUAACUACGUG